GAUGAACGCUGGCGGCGUGCCUAAUACAUGCAAGUCGAGCGAACAGAUAAGGAGCUUGCUCCUUUGACGUUAGCGGCGGACGGGUGGGUAACACGUGGGUAACCUACCUAUAAGACUGGGAUAACUUCGGGAAACCGGAGCUAAUACCGGAUAAUAUUUCGAACCGCAUGGUUCGAUAGUGAAAGAUGGUUUUGCUAUCACUUAUAGAUGGACCCGCGCCGUAUUAGCUAGUUGGUAAGGUAACGGCUUACCAAGGCGACGAUACGUAGCCGACCUGAGAGGGUGAUCGGCCACACUGGAACUGAGACACGGUCCAGACUCCUACGGGAGGCAGCAGUAGGGAAUCUUCCGCAAUGGGCGAAAGCCUGACGGAGCAACGCCGCGUGAGUGAUGAAGGUCUUCGGAUCGUAAAACUCUGUUAUUAGGGAAGAACAUACGUGUAAGUAACUGUGCACGUCUUGACGGUACCUAAUCAGAAAGCCACGGCUAACUACGUG
rnacentral:rRNA from 1 species